AAUGGGUCAGCGACUUAUAUUCUGUAGCAAGGUUAACCGAAUAGGGGAGCCGAAGGGAAACCGAGUCUUAACUGGGCGUUAAGUUGCAGGGUAUAGACCCGAAACCCGGUGAUCUAGCCAUGGGCAGGUUGAAGGUUGGGUAACACUAACUGGAGGACCGAACCGACUAAUGUUGAAAAAUUAGCGGAUGACUUGUGGCUGGGGGUGAAAGGCCAAUCAAACCGGGAGAUAGCUGGUUCUCCCCGAAAGCUAUUUAGGUAGCGCCUCGUGAAUUCAUCUCCGGGGGUAGAGCACUGUUUCGGCAAGGGGGUCAUCCCGACUUACCAACCCGAUGCAAACUGCGAAUACCGGAGAAUGUUAUCACGGGAGACACACGGCGGGUGCUAACGUCCGUCGUGAAGAGGGAAACAACCCAGACCGCCAGCUAAGGUCCCAAAGUCAUGGUUAAGUGGGAAACGAUGUGGGAAGGCCCAGACAGCCAGGAUGUUGGCUUAGAAGCAGCCAUCAUUUAAAGAAAGCGUAAUAGCUCACUGGUCGAGUCGGCCUGCGCGGAAGAUGUAACGGGGCUAAACCAUGCACCGAAGCUGCGGCAGCGACACUAAGUGUUGUUGGGUAGGGGAGCGUUCUGUAAGCCUGUGAAGGUGUACUGUGAGGUAUGCUGGAGGUAUCAGAAGUGCGAAUGCUGACAUAAGUAACGAUAAAGCGGGUGAAAAGCCCGCUCGCCGGAAGACCAAGGGUUCCUGUCCAACGUUAAUCGGGGCAGGGUGAGUCGACCCCUAAGGCGAGGCCGAAAGGCGUAGUCGAUGGGAAACAGGUUAAUAUUCCUGUACUUGGUGUUACUGCGAAGGGGGGACGGAGAAGGCUAUGUUGGCCGGGCGACGGUUGUCCCGGUUUAAGCGUGUAGGCUGGUUUUCCAGGCAAAUCCGGAAAAUCAAGGCUGAGGCGUGAUGACGAGGCACUACGGUGCUGAAGCAACAAAUGCCCUGCUUCCAGGAAAAGCCUCUAAGCAUCAGGUAACAUCAAAUCGUACCCCAAACCGACACAGGUGGUCAGGUAGAGAAUACCAAGGCGCUUGAGAGAACUCGGGUGAAGGAACUAGGCAAAAUGGUGCCGUAACUUCGGGAGAAGGCACGCUGAUAUGUAGGUGAAGCGACUUGCUCGUGGAGCUGAAAUCAGUCGAAGAUACCAGCUGGCUGCAACUGUUUAUUAAAAACACAGCACUGUGCAAACACGAAAGUGGACGUAUACGGUGUGACGCCUGCCCGGUGCCGGAA
rnacentral:rRNA from 1 species